CAUUCACCGAGUUAUUACCAACAUCUGCUACCUCAGAGAUUCUGGACACUUCAGUGGGCUAUAGUAUCAGAACUUCUGGAAAUUCACUCAGAGGCGCAUUGGAUUAAUGACAGGUGCUGCAUUCCCUGGUAUUGUGGGCAUAGAAGAUGAGGAUCAGCACCUGUUUUUUUGACGUUUCUGGCCAGGCAUCAAGGCAGAUAUUCAGUGGUGGUGCAAUGUUCCUUGGUGCUGGAUGCUCAUGCCCAUCUGUGAGGAUGGCAUUGUUCCCAUCUAUGAGUUCAGAGUGCCUUUGUCUACAAUCAGCGAUUGGUUUAAUUGAGCAGCCAGUAUUGGAACGAAAAUGCUGUUACUUCCCCACCACCCUCUCAUGUGCCAGAAUGAAGCUGUGGCGACACCUUCCUCAUCCCUGCUGUCACAUAUAUCUGUGUAAGCCUGAACAGCAGAAUGGAAGAAAUCAGUCACCAUUCACAAUGUCUGCUGGCUGCCAAAGAGACGCAUUUCUACUGCAGCCGAAGGGACAGACUGCUGCCCGUGACACCUGAACUGGAGUCCUCCUGCAAAUUUUCACUUUGAUAUAGUCAUGGUUUUAUUAUUUAUGCUUCAUUUUUAGUCACUAUUUUAGUUUAUCACCCCAUGGUGAUUACUGCUAAAACAAUAAUUGACAGGACCCAUUUGAAGCUUCAAAGGGCAAAUGGAAGGAUAAUGCAAAGAACUGCUUUAGGCCCAAAGCCUUCACAUUCUUAACAAGCAGGAGAUGUCUUCAAAGCCAGUGCUGAGGAUAAAAGGAUUCCUUUUGUGCAUUACGACAUCUGUUCUAAAUAACUUUUUUUCUCACUUAGGGGAGGGAAUUACUUAAAUACCAUGUUAAGGACCCUAAUCAUGCUUACAUUCUCUUUUAAGAUAUUAUAUUUAAUUUACUAAUGUUUCUCGUAUAAUAACCAAAGAUGCAUUUCUUGGAGGUUCC
rnacentral:lncRNA from 1 species